AGCCUCCCAGCCUUACUCUUAUGUUGUGGAAUUAUUAUUAUUGUUAUUACACUUUUAAAUUUCAAGACCCAGUAACAAAGGACGUACUGAUAGCACAGUGGCUCACACAUGUAACCCCAACACCGGGAGGUGAAGCCAAGCAAAUCACUUGACGCCAGGAUUUUGAGACCAGCCUGGGCAGCACAGCAAAACCCCUUCCCUACAAAUAAUUUCAAAAGUAGCCCAGUGUGGUAGCAUGCCCCUGCAGUCUCAGCUACUCAGGAGGUUGAGGUGGGAGGAUCCCUCGCAUCCAGGAGUUGGAGGCUGCAGUGAGCUAUGACUGCACCAUUGCACUUCAGCCUGCUGAGAGAGACAGACCCCAUCUCAAAUAAAUAAAUAGAUAAAGGACAUACCCACACUGAUUCUGUUAAAACACAAAGAUGGCUGGGCACGGUGGCUCACGCCUAUAAUCCCAGCACUUUGGGAGGCUGAGGCGGGCAGAACAUGAGGUCAAGAGAUCAAGACCAUCCUGGCCAACAUGAUGAAACUCGUCUCUACUAAAAACGCAAAAAUUAGCCGGGCGUGGUGGCACGCACCUGUAGUCCCAGCUACUGGAGAGGCUGAGGCAGGAGAAUCACUUGAAUCCAGGAGGCAGAGGUUAUAGUGAGCCUAGAUAGCGCCACUGCCCUCCGGCCUGGAGGCAGAGCGAGGCUCCUUCUUCAAAAGCAAAAACAACAACAACAAACAAACAAACAAACCAGAACCAAAAGGUACAAAGGUAAAGUCAAUCCUCUUUGCAAAACUCCCCAGUGGCUUCUCCUCCUAUUUAGACUUUUUUUUUUGAAACAGGAUCUUGCUCUGUCAUCAGAUUGGAGUGUAGUGAUGCAGCCUCAACCUGCUAGUCUCAGAAGACCUUCCCACCUCAGCCUCCUGAGUAGCUGGAACCCCAGGUGCACGUCACCACGCCUAGCUAACUUUUAAUAAACUUUUUGUAGAGAGGGAGGUCUCACUAUGUUGCCCAGGCUGGUAUUAAACUCUUGGUCGGCUUUGCAGAUGCCACCGCCGCCUGGAGCCUUGUAGUAUCAGCCAUGGUCAACCCCACCGUGUUCUUCGACAUUGCCGUCGACGGCGAACCCUUGGGCCGCGUCUCUUUUGAACUGUUUGCAGACAAGAUUCCAAAGACAGCAGAAAACUUUCGUGCUCUGAGCACUGGAAAGAAAGGAUUUGGUUAUAAGGGUUCCUGGUUUCACAGAAUUAUUCCAGGGUUUAUGUGUCAGGGUGGUGACUUCACACACCAUAACGGCACUGGUGGCAAGUCCAUCUACGGGGAGAAAUUUGAUGACGAGAACUUCAUCCUGAAGCAUGCAGGUCCCGGCAUCUUGUCCAUGGCAAAUGCUGGACCCAACACAAACGGUUCCCAGGUUUUCAUCUGCACUGCCAAGACUGCGUGGUUGGACGGCGAGCAUGAGGUCUCUGGCCAGGUGAAAGAGGCAUGAGUACUGUGGACGCCAUGGAGCGCUCUGGGUCCAGGAAUGACGAGACCAGCAAGAAGAUCACCAUUGCUGACUGUGGAUGACUUUCAUACGUUUGACUUGUGUUUUAUCUUAACCACCAGACCGUUCCUUCUGUAGCUCAGGAGAGCGCCCUCCACCCCAUCUGCUCGCAGUUUCCUAGAAUCUGUGCUCUCGCUGCAGUUCCCUUUGGGUUCCACGCUUUCCUUGUUCCCUUCCAUGCCUAGCUGGAUCGCAGAGUUAGGUUUAUGAUUAUGUAAUAAAGACUAAUAAAAUA